rnacentral:rRNA from 1 species
CGGCGGACGGGUGAGUAACACGUGGGUAACCUACCUAUAAGACUGGGAUAACUUCGGGAAACCGGAGCUAAUACCGGAUAAUAUAUUGAACCGCAUGGUUCAAUAGUGAAAGACGGUUUUGCUGUCACUUAUAGAUGGAUCCGCGCUGCAUUAGCUAGUUGGUAAGGUAACGGCUUACCAAGGCAACGAUGCGUAGCCGACCUGAGAGGGUGAUCGGCCACACUGGAACUGAGACACGGUCCAGACUCCUACGGGAGGCAGCAGCC